rnacentral:rRNA from 1 species
UUAAAUUGAAGAGUUUGAUCAUGGCUCAGAUUGAACGCUGGCGGCAGGCCUAACACAUGCAAGUCGAACGGUAACAGAAAGCAGCUUGCUGCUUUGCUGACGAGUGGCGGACGGGUGAGUAAUGUCUGGGAAACUGCCUGAUGGAGGGGGAUAACUAC